UUCAAUUAAUUCAAUUAGAUUUUUGAAAUCAAAAGAAAACAAAGAAAAAGAAGUAGAUUUGGUCUUUCAAUUUUGUGUGGGCCAGCUUAAUUUGAAGCCUAAAAAUCCCAAAUUACCCAAGCACAUACAAUCUCAGCCCACUACCCAAAUACCCAUUCCCCUUUAUUGAAACCCUACCUCCUACACUCUAAUAUAUACACAUAUUAGAAAACCUAGACUAGACAAUUAAAAAUAGAGAACCCUUCCUAUGCAAAAAACCAGAGAAACAACGUCGUUCCUCCUCUUCCUUAUUCAUUCUUCUCUCAUCUUCAACAGAUAACAGAUGGAUCCCAUCUCUCAAAAGCUUCAAAAAAAAAGAAAAAAAGAAAGAAAAAGAACCACGAAGAAUUUAAAUCUGGUCUGAUUUCUGCUGCAUUACUUCUACAUCUCAUGGGUGUUCGAGUUUAAUUUCGAUUUCAAAAGUCGAAGAUGUGUUUUGCUGAAUUCGUUGCUGCUCCGUACCCAAACUUAUUCAUGUUUUUUUAGCUAAGAGAUGUUGGCUGAUGAUGUUGCUGUGCUCAACGGGAGUUGUACUUGAAGACUUACAUGUGUUUCAGUUGUAGUUGCCUCUUGUUUAUAAUAGCCUUAGAUUCAUAAAACACUGUUUAUGUACUUUUCAAACAUAUGAUGUAUUUACCUCAUACCAGCUUUGUUAAUUCUAUUCUUAGAACCUCAUGAAUUGUACUACCAGUCAUUGGGGAAUAUAUCAGAUUCAAAUAUUUCUCACUUAA